CUACGGGGUGCUCCAGUGGGGAAUAUUGGACAAUGGGGGAAACCCUGAUCCAGCAAUGCCGCGUGUGUGAAGAAGGCCUGCGGGUUGUAAAGCACUUUCGGUUGGGAGGACUGCUUCUAGCACUAAUAUUGUUGGAAGUUGACGUUACCUUCAGAAGAAGCACCGGCUAACUCCGUGCCAGCAGCCGCGGUAAUACGGAGGGUGCAAGCGUUAAUCGGAAUUACUGGGCGUAAAGCGCGCGUAGGCGGCUAGAUCAGUCGGGUGUGAAAGCCCCGGGCUUAACCUGGGAACUGCAUCCGAUACUGUCUAGCUUGAGUACAGGAGAGGGGAGUGGAAUUCCACAUGUAGCGGUGAAAUGCGUAGAUAUGUGGAGGAACACCAAUGGCGAAGGCAGCUCUCUGGCCUGAUACUGACGCUGAGGUGCGAAAGCGUGGGGAGAAAGCAGGAUUAGAUACCCCCGUAGUC
rnacentral:rRNA from 1 species